rnacentral:tRNA from 1 species
GCUGAGGCUCAGUGGCAGAGCGCUUGCCUUACACACGUGAAGCACUGGGUUCAAUCCUCAGCACAACA